CAUGAUAUCAUUUGGCAACCAUGUAUCAAGUAACUGCCAAUUCCACAGCCCAUCAUCAUCCACAAUAUCAAUUAAUUUCUCAUCUCUCAACUGAGUCGGGAUUUGGAGAUUACAGUCCACUAGACGCAGCCCUUCCUCUAUCCAUGCAUCGUUGCAAAACUCAAUGCUUCGACCAUUUCCAACGAUCCACCAGCUAUGCGCUUGAAGAUAAGGCCAAAGAUUGACAAUAUUCUUCC
rnacentral:lncRNA from 1 species